AACGAACGCUGGCGGCAUGCCUAACACAUGCAAGUCGAACGAAGCCUUCGGGCUUAGUGGCGCACGGGUGCGUAACGCGUGGGAAUCUGCCCUGGGUUCGGAAUAACAGUUAGAAAUGACUGCUAAUACAGGAUGAUGUCUUCGGACCAAAGAUUGAUCGCCCAAGGAUGAGCCCGCGUGGGAUUAGGUAGUGGGUGGGGUAAUGGCCCACCAAGCCGACGAUCCUUGGCUGGUAUGAGAGGAUGUGCAGCCACACUGUGACUGAGACACGGCCCAGACUCCUACGGGAGGCAGCAGUGGGGAAUAUUGGACAAUGGGCGAAAGCCUGAUCCAGCAAUGCCGCGUGAGUGAUGAAGGCCUUAGGGUUGUAAAGCUCUUUUACCAGGGAUGGUAAUGACAGUACCUGGAGAAUAAGCUCCGGCUAACUCCGUGCCAGCAGCCGCCGUAA
rnacentral:rRNA from 1 species